CGUGUAGGCGGUGCGGUAAGUUGGGCGUGAAAUCCCCGAGCUUAACUCGGGUGGGCCGUUCAAGACUGCCGUGCUAGGGUGCGGGAGAGGGAAGUGGAAUUUCCGGUGUAGCGGUGAAAUGCGUAGAUAUCGGGAGGAACACCUGCGGCGAAGGCGGCUUCCUGGACCGUAACCGACGCUGAGGCGCGAAAGCUAGGGGAGCAAACAGGGAUUAGAUACCCUGGUAGUCCUAGCCCUAAACGAUGAGCACUGGGUGUGGCCCCUCACGAGGCCGUGCCGAAGCUAACGCAUUAAGUGCUCCGCCUGGGGAGUACGGUCGCAAGGCUGAA
rnacentral:rRNA from 1 species